AAAUUGAAGAGUUUGAUCAUGGCUCAGAUUGAACGCUGGCGGCAGGCCUAACACAUGCAAGUCGAACGGUAACAGGAAGAAGCUUGCUUCUUUGCUGACGAGUGGCGGACGGGUGAGUAAUGUCUGGGAAACUGCCUGAUGGAGGGGGAUAACUACUGGAAACGGUAGCUAAUACCGCAUAACGUCGCAAGACCAAAGAGGGGGACCUUCGGGCCUCUUGCCAUCGGAUGUGCCCAGAUGGGAUUAGCUUGUUGGUGGGGUAACGGCUCACCAAGGCGACGAUCCCUAGCUGGUCUGAGAGGAUGACCAGCCACACUGGAACUGAGACACGGUCCAGACUCCUACGGGAGGCAGCAGUGGGGAAUAUUGCACAAUGGGCGCAAGCCUGAUGCAGCCAUGCCGCGUGUAUGAAGAAGGCCUUCGGGUUGUAAAGUACUUUCAGCGGGGAGGAAGGGAGUAAAGUUAAUACCUUUACUCAUUGACGUUACCCGCAGAAGAAGCACCGGCUAACUCCGUGCCAGCAGCCGCGGUAAUACGGAGGGUGCAAGCGUUAAUCGGAAUUACUGGGCGUAAAGCGCACGCAGGCGGUUUGUUAAGUCAGAUGUGAAAUCCCCGGGCUCAACCUGGGAACUGCAUCUGAUACUGGCAAGCUUGAGUCUCGUAGAGGGGGGUAGAAUUCCAGGUGUAGCGGUGAAAUGCGUAGAGAUCUGGAGGAAUACCGGUGGCGAAGGCGGCCCCCUGGACGAAGACUGACGCUCAGGUGCGAAAGCGUGGGGAGCAAACAGGAUUAGAUACCCUGGUAGUCCACGCCGUAAACGAUGUCGACUUGGAGGUUGUGCCCUUGAGGCGUGGCUUCCGGAGCUAACGCGUUAAGUCGACCGCCUGGGGAGUACGGCCGCAAGGUUAAAACUCAAAUGAAUUGACGGGGGCCCGCACAAGCGGUGGAGCAUGUGGUUUAAUUCGAUGCAACGCGAAGAACCUUACCUGGUCUUGACAUCCACGGAAGUUUUCAGAGAUGAGAAUGUGCCUUCGGGAACCGUGAGACAGGUGCUGCAUGGCUGUCGUCAGCUCGUGUUGUGAAAUGUUGGGUUAAGUCCCGCAACGAGCGCAACCCUUAUCCUUUGUUGCCAGCGGUCCGGCCGGGAACUCAAAGGAGACUGCCAGUGAUAAACUGGAGGAAGGUGGGGAUGACGUCAAGUCAUCAUGGCCCUUACGACCAGGGCUACACACGUGCUACAAUGGCGCAUACAAAGAGAAGCGACCUCGCGAGAGCAAGCGGACCUCAUAAAGUGCGUCGUAGUCCGGAUUGGAGUCUGCAACUCGACUCCAUGAAGUCGGAAUCGCUAGUAAUCGUGGAUCAGAAUGCCACGGUGAAUACGUUCCCGGGCCUUGUACACACCGCCCGUCACACCAUGGGAGUGGGUUGCAAAAGAAGUAGGUAGCUUAACCUUCGGGAGGGCGCUUACCACUUUGUGAUUCAUGACUGGGGUGAAGUCGUAACAAGGUAACCGUAGGGGAACCUGCGGUUGGAUCACCUCCUUA
rnacentral:rRNA from 1 species